AAAAGGAUCCCGAGUUCAAAGCUAUCCUCAGCAACAGCGAGGCACUGAGUGAGACCAGUGAGACCCUGUCUCUAAAUAAAAUACAUAAUAGGGUUGGACUGGGGAUGUGGCUUAUGGUUGAGUGGCCCUGAGUUCAAUCCCUGAUAACCCCUCGAAAAAAAAAAUUUUUAAAUAAAAAUAAAUAAAUUGUCCUGGCUGACCUCAAGUUUGUCAAUUCAAGAUUUUUUAAAAUCAGGAUCAGAAUCUUAUGGUUUCACAAUAUGGCUUUGAUGCUCUAACAAUUCUUCCUAAGCCACUAAUGGGCACAAGGAGUCUUUUCUUUUUUCUUUUUGUCUCUAUGACAACAGUAAAUUCAAGCCCAUUUUAUUCAGAUGGAAUUAACUUUACCACCCAUAUGAUCUUGGUCUGAUUUAGGUAGAGAAAUUUAUUGUAUCCUCUCCACCUAGAUCCUGUCUGUACUACUUACUGAAUUUGGCACAAGUUGCAAAUAUUUACCUGCUUGUUGAUCAUGAUAUCAAGAGCAUUCUAAUGACGUACCCUAAAGGAAUUUACUUAAAUUUGUGAACAUAGGCUGGGGUGUUACUCAGUGACAGAGCAAGAGUUUAUCAUACAUGAGGCCUUGGGUUCAAUCUCUAGCACCACACACACACACACACACACACACACACACACAACUGUGAAUGAUUAGUCCUUAAGAUGUUUUAGAGGUAUGUCCAUAGCCACUUACUUGAGGUUGGUACCACAGGUUAUAACAUUCACAAUAACUGUCAAUCCCUUUUACCAAACUCAAGAUACAUUUUCUUAAGAUACCCUAUGAACUAUAAGGGAAACAACAAUUGCUGCAUUUUCCAGAGUUUAAUCUUUGGUUGAAAAGUAAAGUGUUUUAGGGGCUGGGGUUGUGGCUCCAAGGUAGUGUACUUGCCUGGCAUGUGUGAGGCACUGGGUUUGAUUCUCAGCACCACAUAUAAAUAAAUAAUAAGUAAAUAAAGGUCUAUCAACAACUUAAAAAAAAGUAAAGUGUUUUGAACUCCCCCUGGUUAAGGCAACAAAAAUUAAUGUGCAUUCAUAAUAACCAGUUCAAAUGAUAGCCAAAAG
rnacentral:lncRNA from 1 species